rnacentral:rRNA from 1 species
AGCGAACGCUGGCGGCAGGCUUAACACAUGCAAGUCGAGCGCCCCGCAAGGGGAGCGGUAGACGGGAGAGUAACACGUGGGAACGUACCCUUUAGUUCGGAACAACCCAGGGAAACUUGGGCUAAUACCGGAUACGUCCGUAAGGAGAAAGAUUUGUCGCUAAAGGAUCGGCCCGCGUCUGCUUAGCUAGUUGGUGAGUUAACGGCUCACCAAGGCGACGAUCAGUAGCUGGUCUGAGAGGAUGAUCAGCCGCACUGGGACGGAGACACGGCCCAGAGUCCUACGGGCGGCAGCAGUGGGGAAUAUUGGACAAGGGGCGCAAGCCUGAUCCAGCAAUGCCGCGUGGGUGAUGAAGGCCCUAGGGUUGUAAAGCCCUUUCGGCGGGGAAGAUAAUGACGGUACCCGCAGAAGAAGCCCCGGCUAACUGCGUGCCAGCAGCCGCCGUAA